rnacentral:lncRNA from 1 species
UCUUGGGCGCUUUGCUUCCUUGCAUAAGAGGGAGACGGUGCCGACUGCCCAUGCUCUUGCUCCGCCAGUGGUGGUGCUUGAGCUUGUGGCCAUGGUGGCAACUUGCAUGGGAGCAUGGGAUGUAGGAACAAGGCAGCGCACAACAACUCGUAGGCAUGCAAAGGAUGCCUAGCCGAGCUGCCAGGCAAUGGAGAGUAUGGAGGAGGUGCGAGGGGAGGGGUGAAAACGUUGUUGGGAGCGGACUGCCGUCGCCGUCAGCCUUUGGACCCAAAGUCGAGCAGUGAGGUGAUUAUGAUUGGGGAAGCGAGGAAGAGGGCACUAUGAGCAGAAAGGAAUGAUUAACCACCGUGAUGGCGGACGGUUGUGGGUAGACCAGGUGUCUACACGUGGAUUUGCUAGACGGGAUAUGACAUGACAUGGUUGUUGUGUGGUGAGGUGCCAUGGGAUAAGACAUGACGCGAGAUAUGACAUGACACGGGAUAUAACUGGCGUGUGGGUGUGUUUGGUUGUUGCCGGCAGGGCACUCUGCUAUGUGUGCUGCCACAUAGUCUGAGCUCCCUUGUGUGGCUUAGUGGUUGCAAACUUCUUACAAUGGAUAAGGCCUCACUACAAGGACAUAAAAUAUAUCCAUUUGUGUCGAGAGAAAUCAUCUUUAAAGAUAAUAUAGUAACGAUGGCUCCUUCCGAGGGAAGGGAGCCGGACCACAAACAUUAGAGUGAGCAAGAUCAAAAGGACGCUGAAACAGUCUUGCUAUGAGCAUAGGGUAACUGGUGGAUGUGGAGCUAGGGCUAAAUGGCGUUGAGUACGGAAGUUUGUUCUAG